rnacentral:rRNA from 1 species
UGGGGAAUUUUGGACAAUGGGGGAAACCCUGAUCCAGCCAUCCCGCGUGUGCGAUGAAGGCCUUCGGGUUGUAAAGCACUUUUGGCAGGAAAGAAACGUCAUGGGUUAAUACCCCGUGAAACUGACGGUACCUGCAGAAUAAGCACCGGCUAACUACGUGCCAGCAGCCGCGGUAAUACGUAGGGUGCAAGCGUUAAUCGGAAUUACUGGGCGUAAAGCGUGCGCAGGCGGUUCGGAAAGAAAGAUGUGAAAUCCCAGAGCUCAACUUGGGAACUGCAUUUUUAACUACCGGGCUAGAGUGUGUCAGAGGGAGGUGGAAUUCCGCGUGUAGCAGUGAAAUGCGUAGAUAUGCGGAGGAACACCGAUGGCGAAGGCAGCCUCCUGGAAUAACACUGACGCUCAUGCACGAAAGCGUGGGGAGCAAACAGG